AUUGAACGCUGGCGGCAUGCCUUACACAUGCAAGUCGAACGGCAGCACGGGAGCAAUCCUGGUGGCGAGUGGCGAACGGGUGAGUAAUGUAUCGGAACGUACCUUUCAGUGGGGGAUAACGUAGCGAAAGUUACGCUAAUACCGCAUAUUCUGUGAGCAGGAAAACAGGGGAUCGCAAGACCUUGCGCUGAUUGAGCGGCCGAUAUCAGAUUAGCUAGUUGGUGAGGUAAAGGCUCACCAAGGCGACGAUCUGUAGCGGGUCUGAGAGGAUGAUCCGCCACACUGGAACUGAGACACGGUCCAGACUCCUACGGGAGGCAGCAGUGGGGAAUUUUGGACAAUGGGCGCAAGCCUGAUCCAGCCAUGCCGCGUGAGUGAAGAAGGCCUCGGUUGUAAGCUCUUCUAGCCGGAGAAACGACAUGGUUAAGUACCUACGUGUGGAUGACGGUACCGGAAGUAAGAAGACACCGGCG
rnacentral:rRNA from 1 species